rnacentral:rRNA from 1 species
GACAGAGGGUGCAAACGUUGUUCGGAAUUACUGGGCGUAAAGCGCGUGUAGGCGGCACUACAAGUCGGAUGUGAAAUCCCCGCGGCUUAACCGUGGAAGUGCACCCGAAACUGUAGAGCUAGAGUCCCGGAGAGGAUGGUGGAAUACUUGGUGUAGAGGUGAAAUUCGUAGAUAUCAAGUGGAACACCGGUGGCGAAGGCGGGCCAUCUGGGACGGUGACUGACGCUGAGACGCGAAAGCGUGGGUAGCAAACAGG